CCUCCGGGUGGCUGCAGUGGGGAAUCUUGCACAAUGGGCGCAAGCCUGAUGCAGCCAUGCCGCGUGUAUGAAGAAGGCCUUCGGGUUGUAAAGUACUUUCAGUCGUGAGGAAGGUGUUAAGGUUAAUAACCUUAGCAAUUGACGUUAGCGACAGAAGAAGCACCGGCUAACUCCGUGCCAGCAGCCGCGGUAAUACGGAGGGUGCGAGCGUUAAUCGGAAUUACUGGGCGUAAAGGGCACGCAGGCGGUUGAUUAAGUUGUAUGUGAAUUCGCCAGUGUUAAGCUGGGAAUGGCAUGCAUGACUGGUUAGAAAGAGUCGUGGAGAAGGGGCUAGAAUUCGAUGUGUCGCGGUAAGAUUCGUGGAGAUGUGGAGGAAUACCAGUGGCGAAGGCGGCCCCCUGGACAGAGACUGACGCUCAUGUGCGAGGGCGUGGGGAUCAAACAGGAUUAGAUACCCUGGAAGUC
rnacentral:rRNA from 1 species